UACGAAGGGGGCUAGCGUUGUUCGGAAUUACUGGGCGUAAAGCGCACGUAGGCGGACAUUUAAGUCAGGGGUGAAAUCCCGGGGCUCAACCCCGGAACUGCCUUUGAUACUGGGUGUCUUGAGUGUGGUAGAGGUGAGUGGAAUUGCGAGUGUAGAGGUGAAAUUCGUAGAUAUUCGCAGGAACACCAGUGGCGAAGGCGGCUCACUGGACCACAACUGACGCUGAGGUGCGAAAGCGUGGGGAGCAAACAGGG
rnacentral:rRNA from 1 species